CAACUACUCCCUCUGUCCCAAAUUUCUUGUCUUAGAUUUGUCUAGAUACGAAUAUAUCUAAUACUAAAAUGUGACUUGAUACAUCCGUAUCUAGACAAAUCUAAGACAAGAAUUUUGGGACAGAGGGAGUACUUU
rnacentral:pre_miRNA from 1 species